GGAUACUGAAUUUCAUGAUAUUUACACUUGCACAGGUCCUCAGCUAAAAAAGGAGGAACUAGAACAACUUGUUAUUCGGCUUAUUGUGGAUCAUGUUUUGAAAGAAGAAUUCCAGCAUACUGCUUAUUCCACAAAUGCUUAUGUUACCAUAGGACCUUUUGCAAGGCAAUUAUUGCAUGGAAAGAAAAUUAUUAAGCUUGAGGUUUGUAGUGGA